UACGUAGGGGCUAGCGUUGUCCGGAUUUAUUGGGCGUAAAGGAGCGAGUGUAGGCGGCCGGGUAAGUCCGGUGUGAAACUCGAGGCUUAAACCUCGACGAUGUCAUCGGAAACGUAGUUCGGCUACGAGUCCGGAAGAGGAGGAGUGGAAUUCCUGGUGGUAGGACGGUGAAAUGCGCAGAUAUACAGGAAGAACACCUAUGGCGAAAGCAGACUCUCUGGGAACGGUAUCUGACGCUGAGACGCGAAAGCGUGGGAGCGAA
rnacentral:rRNA from 1 species